AUUAAUAUUGAANUUAACUUCUAUGUGAAAAGGCAUAGUUAACUUAGGGGGACGAUAAGACCCUAUAAAACUUUACAUUAGUAAGUUUAUUUUUUCAGUANUUAAUAAUUAAGAAAUUAACUUAAAGUGUUAUGCUGGGGAGGCAAUAAUAUAAUUGUGAAGUAACUGUUANGAAAAAAGAAUAUAGAUGAAUAGAGANUAGAACCUUUAGUAUAAGGGUUAUUAGAUUAAGUUACUUUAGGGAUAACAGCGUGAUUUUCUUUGAGAGUCCAUAUCGACAAGAUGAGUUGCGACCUCGAUGUUGAAUUAAGGUUAACUUUUAGGGGCAGAAGUCUAGAGUUGUAGGUCUGUUCGACCUUUAAUACCUUACAUGAUUUGAGUUCAGA
rnacentral:rRNA from 1 species